rnacentral:lncRNA from 1 species
UCCCUUCCAGGAACCAAGAUACAGGGAUGUCAGGCAAAAGACCAGGACAAAGGGCGGAAGCUGGAGGCGGAAGCACAUCCUCUCUGAAGGGCUUCUGGAACCAUGCUGAGGAUUCAGACAGUGCUGGGCCUGUGGAGGGAUGAGAUGGGCAUCAGCAGAAGGAGAUGUCAACGGCAGUCUGACCCCUACACUGUGUCUGCAGGCACAGAAGCUCCCUGGGAGCCAAAUCAGGAGCCUGCUGCUCCUAGCCAGGAGUCUGCUGCCAACACUUCAUCCCAGAGCUGCCCAGCGCUCUUGAAAUGAGAAGUCCAUUAAAGCUCCCAUCUGCCACUCAUGGUAAACAUCUCCGUCUCCAGAGUCUCUGAUUGUCUAUCAGCUUCCUCCCACACCACACCCAACAUCCAUUUUUGGAUGUUUCUCUCAACUUUUAGGCUCUUAACAUCUUGAAGCUCGAGCUGAGUUCAUCAAAGUGAUGGGAGGCCACAUAGUGGAAACGCUGGCUUCCACUCCUGGCUUGCCUGGGUUCCUUUUGCUGUGCUGAUUGUCAACAGGGUGUCUCUGGGGGGCAUUUACUUCACCUCUGAACUUUAUUUUUAAACCAUACUAAAAGGGAGUGUACUUUC